rnacentral:lncRNA from 1 species
UUCUUAAACACUUUAUGCAACAGAGGAACCUUCCACCUACUCCAAGAGAUACGGCCUUGGUAGGACUGUCAAUCAAAGUGAUGUCCUCUCCAGCUCAAGAGGAGUGUUUGGUGGCUCUUACGUGGUAUUGUACUGGAAGGAAGAGUUAAGCCUUGGAUUCCCCAAGCUGUUGAAAGGAUCCAGUCUUCCCCAGUGCUGUUGCCAUCUUCCAGGGAAGUGUCUUUGACUUUGGUCUUGAAGAGAGUUUUAUCCCCCCAUGUCACAGGAUCCUAAUGUUGGGACCUCAGGUAUCAUCUAGUUCAACACCC